UACGUAGGGCGCAAGCGUUGUCCGGAAUUAUUGGGCGUAAAGGGCUCGUAGGCAGCGUGUCGCGUCGGGAGUGAAAGACCGGGGCUUAACCCCGGUUCUGCUUCCGGUACGGGCAUGCUGGAGUGUGGCAGGGGAGACUGGAAUUCCUGGUGUAGCGGUGGAAUGCGCAGAUAUCAGGAGGAACACCGGUGGCGAAGGCGGGUCUCUGGGCCAUUACUGACGCUGAGGAGCGAAAGCGUGGGGAGCGAACAGG
rnacentral:rRNA from 1 species